ACGCUGGCGGCGUGCCUAACACAUGCAAGUCGAACGGAGUUAAUGAUUUCGGUUGUUAACUUAGUGGCGAACGGGUGAGUAACGCGUGAACAACCUGACCCAAAGAGGGGGAUAACAUUUGGAAACAGAUGCUAAUACCGCAUAAGACCACAACGUCACAUGGCGAAGGGGUCAAAGGAGCAAUCCGCUUUGGGAGGGGUUCGCGUCCCAUUAGGUAGUAGGCGGGGUAACAGCCCACCUAGCCAACGAUGGGUAGCCGAGCUGAGAGGCUGAUCGGCCACACUGGAACUGAGACACGGUCCAGACUCCUACGGGAGGCAGCAGUGGGGAAUAUUGGGCAAUGGGCGCAAGCCUGACCCAAGCAACGCCGCGUGAGGGAAGAAGGUUUUCGGAUUGUAAACCUCUGUCGCAGAAGACGAAGGAAGUGACGGUAUUCUGUGAGGAAGCCCCGGCUAACUACGUGCCAGCAGCAGC
rnacentral:rRNA from 1 species